rnacentral:misc_RNA from 1 species
GAGCCCACAAGAUGCAAUGAUACCUUUUCAGAUUUUGGGUGGUGAAGCCCAAGUACUACAGAUUAUGCUGAAGCCAGAAGAGAAGGUUAUUGCAAGGCCUGGCUCAAUGUGCUUCAUGUCUGGGUCUAUUGAGUUGGAAAAUGUUUUUCUUCCGGAAAAUGAAGUGGGUGUUUGGCAUUGGCUAUUUGGCAAGAGUGUCACUAGCAUCGUUCUUCGGAAUUCCG